GGAAUAUUGGGCAAUGGGCGAAAGCCUGACCCAGCAACGCCGCGUGAGUGAAGAAGGCCUUCGGGUUGUAAAGCUCUGUUAUAGGGGACGAAGGAAGUGACGGUACCCUGUAAGGAAGCCCCGGCUAACUACGUGCCAGCAGCCGCGGUAAUACGUAGGGGGCGAGCGUUGUCCGGAAUGACUGGGCGUAAAGGGCGUGUAGGCGGCUUUUUAAGUCUGGAGUGAAAGUCCUGCAUUUAAUGUGGGAAUUGCUUUGGAUACUGGAGAGCUUGAGUGCAGAAGAGGUAAGCGGAAUUCCCAGUGUAGCGGUGAAAUGCGUAGAGAUUGGGAGGAACACCAGUGGCGAAGGCGGCUUACUGGGCUGUAACUGACGCUGAGGCGCGAAAGCGUGGGGAGCGAACA
rnacentral:rRNA from 1 species